rnacentral:rRNA from 1 species
AUACGGAAGGUCCGGGCGUUAUCCGGAUUUAUUGGGUUUAAAGGGAGCGCAGGCGGCACUUCAAGCGUGACGUUAAAUUUCGGGGCUCACCCCCGUUGUGCGUCGCGAACUGUUGUGCUUGAGUAGGCGGCAGGGAGGCGGAAUUCGCGGUGUAGCGGUGAAAUGCUUAGAUAUCGCGAGGAACUCCGAUAGCGCAGGCAGCCUCCCGUUGCUUUACUGACGCUCAUGCUCGAAGGUGCGGGUAUCGAACAGGAUUAGAUACCCUGGUAGUCCGCACUGUAAACGAUGGAUGCCCGCUGUUGGGCCUUUUGGGUUCAGUGGCCAAGAGAAAUCGUUAAGCAUCCCACCUGGGGAGUACGCCGGCAACGGUGAAACUCAAAUGAAUUGACGGGG